rnacentral:rRNA from 1 species
UACGUAGGUGGCGAGCGUUAUCCGGAAUGAUUGGGCGUAAAGGGUGCGCAGGCGGUCUUUUAAGUCUGAUGUGAAAGCCUUCGGCUUAACCGGAGUAGUGCAUUGGAAACUGGGAGACUUGAGUGCAGAAGAGGAGAGUGGAACUCCAUGUGUAGCGGUGAAAUGCGUAGAUAUAUGGAAGAACACCAGUGGCGAAAGCGGCUCUCUGGUCUGUAACUGACGCUGAGGUUCGAAAGCGUGGGUAGCAAACAGG